rnacentral:misc_RNA from 1 species
AUACAGUCGCUUUCGUGGAAGAAUAGUUGUUCUUUCAAUUCUUGCCCUGUUUCUGUAUCCUUUUCUUUGGGCUUGGACCAUUAUCGGGACUUUAUGGUUCACUAGUGCGAGAAACUGUUUGCCAGAAGAAGGUCAAAAGUGGGGUUUCCUUAUUUGGUUGCUGUUCAGCUACUGUGGACUCAUUGGCAUAGCUUGCAUAUCAAUUGGGAAGUGGUUAACUAGAAGGCAAGCCCAUUCUUUACGUGCUCAACAAGGGAUUCCUACUUCCGAA